GAUGAACGCUGGCGGCGUGCCUAAUACAUGCAAGUCGAGCGAAUGGAUUAAGAGCUUGCUCUUAUGAAGUUAGCGGCGGACGGGUGAGUAACACGUGGGUAACCUGCCCAUAAGACUGGGAUAACUCCGGGAAACCGGGGCUAAUACCGGAUAACAUUUUGAACCGCAUGGUUCGAAAUUGAAAGGCGGCUUCGGCUGUCACUUAUGGAUGGACCCGCGUCGCAUUAGCUAGUUGGUGAGGUAACGGCUCACCAAGGCAACGAUGCGUAGCAGACCUGAGAGGGGGAUCGGCCACACUGGGACCGAGACACGGCCCAGACUCCUACGGGAGGCAGCAGUAGGGAAUCGUCCGCAAUGGACGAAAGUCUGACGGAGCAACGCCGCGUGAGUGAUGAAGGCUUUCGGGUCGUAAAACUCUGUUGUUAGGGAAGAACAAGUGCUAGUUGAAUAAGCUGGCACCUUGACGGUACCUAACCAGAAAGCCACGGCUAACUACGUGCCAGCAGCCGCGGUAA
rnacentral:rRNA from 1 species